UACGGGGGGGGCAAGCGUUGUUCGGAAUUACUGGGCGUAAAGGGCUCGUAGGCGGCCAACUAAGUCGGACGUGAAAUCCCCAGGCUCAACCUGGGAACUGCGUCCGAUACUGGAUGGCUUGAAUUCGGGAGAGGGAUGCAGAAUUCCAGGUGUAGCGGUGAAAUGCGUAGAUAUCUGGAGGAAUACCGGUGGCGAAGGCGGCAUCCUGGACCGGUAUUGACGCUGAGGCGCGAAAGCCAGGGGAGCAAACGGG
rnacentral:rRNA from 1 species